rnacentral:rRNA from 1 species
UACGUAGGGGGCAAGCGUUGUCCGGAUUUAUUGGGCGUAAAGCGCUCGCGGGUGGUUCGUCGCGUCGUGCGUGAAAGACCCCGGCUCAACUGGGGAGGGUCGUGCGAUACGGGCGGACUGGAGGCCAGUAGGGGGGAUGCGGAAUUCCGGGUGUAGUGGUGGAAUGCGUAGAGAUCCGGAGGAACACCAGCGGCGAAGGCGGCAUCCUGGACUGGUCCUGACACUCAGGAGCGAAAGCGUGGGGAGCGAUCCGG